rnacentral:rRNA from 1 species
GAUGAACGCUGGCGGCGUGCUUAACACAUGCAAGUCGAACGAUGAAGCCCAGCUUGCUGGGUGGAUUAGUGGCGAACGGGUGAGUAACACGUGAGUAACCUGCCCUUAACUCUGGGAUAAGCCUGGGAAACUGGGUCUAAUACCGGAUAGGAGCGCCUACCGCAUGGUGGGUGUUGGAAAGAUUUAUCGGUUUUGGAUGGACUCGCGGCCUAUCAGCUUGUUGGUGAGGUAAUGGCUCACCAAGGCGACGACGGGUAGCCGGCCUGAGAGGGUUACCGGCCACACUGGGACUGAGACACGGCCCAGACUCCUACGGGAGGCAGCAGUGGGGAAUAUUGCACAAUGGGCGAAAGCCUGAUGCAGCGACGCCGCGUGAGGGAUGACGGCCUUCGGGUUGUAAACCUCUUUCAGUAGGGAAGAAGCGAAAGUGACGGUACCUGCAGAAGAAGCACCGGCUAACUACGUG